CUGAUACCCACACUCUCUCUCUCUCUCUCUCUCUUGCUUUCUUACUCUGUCGCUCUCUUCCUUCGACAGCCAUGGCAGCUCGCCGCCGCCACCUCUUGUGACCCUAUCUCCCUCCCUCUUCUAUUCUUCUAUUUCCUCUCUCUUUCGUCCCUUCAUCUCCCUCUCUCUAUCACUAUCUCUUUUUCUCCCACAUUUCUCCAUCCAUCUCUCUCUCUCUCUCUCUCUCUCUCUCUCUCUCUCCUAUGGACAACAUCUUACUCUCUCCCUCUCAAAUUUUUUGGACUCACCGAGUAUGUGUGUGGAUCUCCCUUAAGCUCCCUCAAGCUUCCACUCAUCUCCUUUCUCACUCUUAGGUUCAUCGGGUACAUGAGUAAAUUUUUUUUCUUAUGAAACCUAGUUUUUGUUUUAUCUCACUCUCUACUCAAUUUUCUUUCCCACGCAGUGUUUUAAAUGUCUCAUUUUCGACCCUCUUUCACCAAAUAAGUUUAUUAUGGUUUUCUUUUUUUUCUUUUUUCUUUUUUCCUCUGUUAUUUUGGAUAUAUAUAUAUAUAUAUAUAUAUAAGCUAAUCUGUUUGUUGGUGGAAGUUGGUAUUUUGGGUCUCAAAUUUACAUUUUUCUAAAAGCUAAGGAUUUGCAUUUUGUCUUGUUUUUUCUUCUUCAGAUUUGUGAUUUUCUUGAGCUCUCAAUCUUUAUCUCUCUAACUGUUAUCUUUUGCUCAUAGGUAGAAUAAUAUAUAUAUAUAUAUAUAUUAAGUUUACUUUAGUCAAUAAGAUUUGAAAUUUGUUUUUAUGUUUGGUUGUGGUUCGGAUACAAUAUCUCAAAUUUUAAUUUUUCUGAAAAGCUAAGGAUAGACCACUGCUCAUUCUUUUACACUGGUUAAGAAUUUUAUUUAUGUCUUUCUCUUAUUUUUGUAAUUCGUUUCAUUAAUCUUGGGCACAUUUUCUAUUCUUUUUACCAAAUGUUAACUCUUUUCUCUGGGUUUUUUUCCCUCUGGGUUCGGUUAGAUGCAUGUUUCUUGUUUUUUUUUCAUUUUUUAUUUUUUUCAUUCUUCCCUCUCUAUGUGUAUGUAUAAAUCUUCUAAUGUUUUUGAACAAAAAAAAGAAUGACUCCUUGUUUUUUUGUUUGUCUUUGGUUAUUCCUAUAUUAUUAUAUCAUUUUGUUUAACUGGAUUUUUAAAAUUUAGGUUUGAUUAUAUCCUAAAAUAUAUAGAAAUAUAGACAUAAUCUAUUUGAUAAAAUGUUUGUUAGAAUAAAAUUAGAAGUAACAUAUCUAUUAACUUGUAAAUAUAGAUUAUGUUUUCGGUAUGUCUUCAUCUUGCUACUAUUUAUUAAUUUUUAAGUAGAAAUUAGAUAGAAUAAUCAAAUUUUUUAUUUGUGCAUAUUAACUUUAGGGUUUAUACCUUUUUAGACCUGUGUUUUGUCUCGUCUCAUUAUCUGUUUGGACCCAGUAUUUUGAUAAAUUACUUUUUGGACCCUAUGUUUUGUAAAAUGGUUAAAAUAGAACCCUAAACUCGAUUUUGGUCAAUGUUUUCUCAACUAAAAUUACAAAUAAUUUACCAAACUAACAAUCCAGAAUAAAAAUAAAAUCAUUCUGCUUAAAAGCUGUGUUGUUAUAUUCGAUUUUUUCUUCAUCAAAAUUGAGUUUAGAGUUCUAUUUUAACCAUUUUACAAAAUAUAAGGUCCAAAAAGUAAUUUAUCAAAAUAUAGGGUCCAAAAAGGUAUAAACCCUUAACUUUAAGCAAACUCCUUUCAAAAUAAUUUUUUAACAUAUCUUUAUUAAAAUUUUCUUCUAAACCAAUUUCAAUAUUGUAUUGAGGAAAGAUAUUAAUUAGUUAGUUAUACAUUAUUCAAAAUAUAAACGAUUCUGUACCCAAAGCUAACUCAAAAUAGGAAAAAUAAAGAAUGGAUAUAUUAUUUUGUGUUAAAAUAAAUUAUCUAUUAUCUAUAUGAUCUUAUAUAUUAAGUUAAAGGAAAUUUUCUUUCUGUGAGAUUAAAUGUUUGUGGUUGUUAUUGUUGUCUUUUUUAUUUUUGCUUUCUCCUCAUCUUUUUUAUUUUUUUUAUUUUUAGUUUUUAUCCCUAUUUUUCUUGCUAUUAUGUGGGUUUCAUUGUAGUGCAACUUUGAAGAAAUGAAUGAUUUGGUUGGGUUCAUGAAGACAAUCCAUAUAGCAAGACUAUGUUCUUCUCCGAAUUGGGCUUUAUAUUUGUUCAAAAUGGAGCUUUAGGGACCUUUAUGCUUGGUACAUUUCGCAUACUCUGUUCUCUUGCUGUAAAUUUAUACGAUGUCGACAAUUAACAAAAGUGGAUGCAUAUCUACUUUGAUUUGAGUUACAAUUUGGGAAAAUAUCACAAUGGAAACAAGAGCAUAAUGAAUCAUGGAUUGGAGGGUGGAGCUAUCUUCAAACUUUAAUUUCUUUGUGUAUUUGAUUAUGUUUUGUUGUUCACUUUUUAGGUAAAACGUGUGAAGGACUAGUAGUUUUUUAUGUCUUGUGUAUACUUCAAAAUUUUAGUUAGAACUAAGAAUCUUACGAAGUGGAGAUAGUUAUGGUUUAAAUUGAAUAUUGUAACUUAAUUGAUUUAAUUAAUGUACAAUGUUAUAAUACUCAUAGUUUGUGAGAUA